AUUGAACGCUGGCGGCAGGCCUAACACAUGCAAGUCGAACGAGUGGCGGACGGGUGAGUAAUGUCUGGGAAACUGCCUGAUGGAGGGGGAUAACUACUGGAAACGGUAGCUAAUACCGCAUACCAUCGGAUGUGCCCAGAUGGGCUUAGCUAGUAGGUGGGGUAAAGGCUCACCUAGGGUACGAUCCCUAGCUGGUCUGAGAGGAUGACACGCCAGACUGGAACUGAGACACGGUGCAGACUCCUACGGGAGGCAGCAGCGGGGAAUAUUGGACAAUGGGCGCAAGCCUGAUGCAGCCAUGCCGCGUGGAUGAAGAAUGCCUUCGGGUUGUAAAGUACUUUCAGCGGGGAGGCGUUACCCGCAGAAGAAGCACCGGCUAACUCCGUGCCAGCAGCCGCGGUAAUUC
rnacentral:rRNA from 1 species